rnacentral:ncRNA from 1 species
UGCGAUGAGUUGACUCUGACCAGGUGACUUCGGUCAUUUCGCUGCGGCGACUAGUGGUUAGAAUUAGACAAGGCACACCGUACUUAGGUACAACUGCGAGAUGCAGGUGUUUGGACCCCUCUGUUUUGUGGAAUUC